UAUUUUCCUUGUGUGCCAGCAGCCGCGGUAAUACGUAGGUGGCGAGCGUUGUCCGGAAUUAUUGGGCGUAAAGAGCAUGUAGGCGGCUUAAUAAGUCGAGCGUGAAAAUGCGGGGCUCAACCCCGUAUGGCGCUGGAAACUGUUAGGCUUGAGUGCAGGAGAGGAAAGGGGAAUUCCCAGUGUAGCGGUGAAAUGCGUAGAUAUUGGGAGGAACACCAGUGGCGAAGGCGCCUUUCUGGACUGUGUCUGACGCUGAGAUGCGAAAGCCAGGGUAGCGAACGGG
rnacentral:rRNA from 1 species